GAGAGGGAGAGGAGGGAGGAACAGAGACGCGGGAGGAGGAGUCGGAGCGGGCGGACGCGGGGACUCCAGGUCUGAAUGGCAGGAGCCUCGAGGGCCACCCGGCGGUUACUGGGGAGACGCUUUGUUUGCUAACUUCGAAAACUGCUCCGGCCGCCUCGGUCGCUGGCGAAGCGACUCCACUAAACCCGCUUUGGGUCUUUGGAGCCCUGCCCCCCGCCCGAGACAACCGAGAUUCCUUCUUCCCCUAGUUAUCCCUUGGCCACGCCGUAGCUUGCUUUCCUCAGGUCCACAAAGGAACACAAAGUUCCAUUUGUUGUCUUUAUCUACUGAAGCUGCCUCAAGGCCAAGAAAAGAAACACAGUUGUAUAAAGGUACUAGUUGAGCAAGAUUUCUUUCCCGCACCAUGGUGAUCCCUUUUGUCGGAGUAAAGGAUGGGUGUCAGAUACUUUGGUAAACUGUAUUGCGCUCCAAAGCUCCCAGACUACAUGAUUCUAAUAAUACCUUCACAUCUUGAGCUACUAAAGGAGAAGCUGACCAUUGUUUUUUCAAGGGGCUGGGGCUGAGCUACCACCAUCUUUUGGUGAUUUUAUCAGGAUUAUUCUCCUCCUCAUAGUUAAAUAAAUAAUAUAACUGGUACUCCUGCUUGUUUUUAAUCACUUUUGUCCUCGCCUGCAUGCCCCUUUGAGCCCUUCUUUCUCCUUCAUAGCCCCGUCAUCACUUCCCCUAGAGGAUAACCGGAACACAGUAAAAGGAUAACUUGUUGAGCUUGGCUUUUAUUCCUUUUGUUCUCAACAUCUCGUGUUUGUUGUGCUUUACAGUUUAUCAAACACUUAUUUGAAUGAUCAUUUAAUGUUCAAACUAAUAA
rnacentral:lncRNA from 1 species